GUUUAAGGGGCGGGACAGAAGGGAAAUAAGGGAGCCUAGUGGGACCUGGCUUCUCUGAGGCUCCGGAGCCAGGAGGGAGGGAAGAUGGUUUACAUCUCGAAUGAUCAUUGCCUGCCCAUGUACAUAGUAGCAUGACUCACAGCAAGCAACCUGUGUUCAUCUGUUGAUGGAUAAAAUGUAUGCACGUACAAAGAAGUACUGUUUGGUCUUUAAAAAGGAAAAGGUUUUUUGACAAUUGGCAGAUGUACUAAAUAAGGACAAGUGUUGGACAAUCGCAGUCAGUCUCCAUGGAGACUGUCAUUAAUAACAGAUUUCUUCUGGGGAAUAGCCGAGUUUGUGGUUUUGUUUUUCAAAACUCUGCUUCAACAAGAUGUGAAAAAAGGAAGAGGCUACAGAAACUCAUCUGAUUCCAGAUAUGAUGAUGGAAGAGGGCCACCAGGAAACCCUCCCCGAAGAAUGGGGCGAAUCAAUCAUCUUCAAGGUCCCAGUCCUCCUCCAAUGGCUGGUGGAUGAGGAAGGUAAAUGUCUGCUGUAAGAAGCAGACAACUAGACAAUACACAUUCAUAGCAGAAGGAAAUCAUCAAAAAGCGAAGAUCAGACUGGUGGACACAUUGAUGAAUGUGUAUGUCUCAACAAGAAUUGCUCUGUGUUCUCACAGAUAAAUGAGGUCACGCCAGGAAUUCUCUCAGCAGGGAUCUGGCUUGACUGAUACGCAGUUCUCUAAAUGCAUAUGUUGUCUCAUUGUCUUUUUUGUAUAGUUUAUUAAAGUAUUGAUAUAAUUUUAAUAAAUAUUUUUAGGUUGCAUACUGACCCUUCAUCUUUAUAUAAUUAAAUCAGAAACUCUGAACCUGAAUAAAUAAAAGGCUGUGUUAUUUAGUACUAUUGGUGUCCCCUUUUUUUCAAUUUCUGAAGCAAUGUUCACUGUUCAUUUGUUCUCAUUUAUAAAUAAAUUGCUAUAUUUCAGUAGUA